CUUCACCGAGCCGAGCCAGAGCGGCCGUUCGGCCGAGUGCUCGCGUCCGUACGUGGCGAGCAGAGCCUGCGCCUC
rfam:Streptomyces sp. CNQ-509, complete genome.